GAUGAACGCUAGCGGGAGGCCUAACACAUGCAAGCCGAGCGGUAUUUCUUCUUCGGGAGAGAGAGAGCGGCGUACGGGUGCGGAACACGUGUGCAACCUGCCUUUAUCUAGAGGAUAGCCUUUCGAAAGGAAGAUUAAUACUCUAUAAUAUAUUAAUUGGCAUCAAUUGAUAUUGAAAACUCCGGUGGAUAGAGAUGGGCACGCGCAAGAUUAGCUAGUUGGUGAGGUAACGGCUCACCAAGGCAAUGAUCUUUAGGGGGCCUGAGAGAGUGAUCCCCCACACUGGUACUGAGACACGGACUAGACUCCUACGGGAGGCAGCAGUGAGGAAUAUUGGUCAAUGGGUGCAAGCCUGAACCAGCCAUCCCGCGUGAAGGAUUAAGGUCCUAUGGAUUGUAAACUUCUUUUGUAUAGGGAUAAACCUACCCUCGUGAGGGUAGCUGAAGGUACUAUACGAAUAAGCACCGGCUAACUCCGUGCCAGCCGCCGCGGUAAAAC
rnacentral:rRNA from 1 species